AUUUAACAUCAUAACUACGAAUAAGAAUAAAAUUGCAAUCGCACCUACAUAUACAAUUAAAUAUGAAAUCCCAAUGAAACCAAUACC